CUAUCUUAACUGAAAGAAACUGAGGCUCUGAGGGGAUAAGUGAGUUUCACAUGGUCCCCAAGCUAGUCAGCGACAGACCUCGCUCUUCUGACUCCAGUGCUUGUCCUAUAUCCCACAGCUGUGAACCUUGUAUCCAGGGCCUUGCCUCCAGGGACCCCCACAGCAUGUGCCCUCCUCUCUUCCCAGUGAGCAUCCUUGCCCUCGGGACAUCCUGGAUGAGCUGGUCAUCACACCAGGCAGAGGCUCCCAUGACUCAGCCUCCACCCACUCCACUUAAUCUCCAAGGACUGCUUCAAGGAACAGAGACGAAACUAUUCCAUGGGACUCAGGCAGAGAUGCAGCCCACAUCCAUGGCCCCUUUCCCCACUGAGAAGCGCUCAGCAUUGCUCAGGCCUCUCGGGGACACUUCUUUUCAGGCACUCCUGGAAAACCGAAAAGCCUCCACCAGCCUCUCUCCUGCCACAGAGCCCGCCUCUGGUCCUCACUGGCGCUAUUUCCACCUGGAUGGCAUAAUGUAUGUUCCUCUCAGUGCCAGGAAAGCAGGCUCCUAAUCUCUGAAGAGUUCUACAAAAAUAAACACAGAAGACUUCCUGGUACACACACAGGCAAAAAGUGGUACACUUCACAUAUGGUGCAAAUAGUGGAUAUUUAUGUUUCUGAAAAAUUGUAGGUUCUUUAAAAUAGAUGACAGAGAAAGUGAGCUUGGAAGGGGCUGUGAUACAAAGGUAAUUGUCAAGUUGUCCCUGGAGCUCAGGAAUAGAAGAUGAGUUUCAGCCAGGAGAUUAGGCCCAACCUUGGCAUCCUACACCAGUCCGACAAGAAGGGAGCACUCAUUUAUGCUGGCAGAUCAUGGUGUGCUUCGGUCCCGAUCUUUAAGAAGCCAAUGAUGCAACUGGAGAUCUUGGGUUGUUUUUUAGUUCAGAGUUGAAAGGGGAAAGAAAAGUGUUUCUUGCCCACCAGUGGUGUGUCUGGUGCAGUGAAUGAGAUCCAGUUGCUGCCUCAGGUGCUGCGAUCCCUGGGAGACAAAAACAGAAAGGCCCUCAGGGCGGUAUGGUGGGUGCCAUAACUAGGUGCUGUGCAGGGAGGGCCUCUCUCAAGAGGCAGUGCCCACAGCUCAACCGGGUCUUCUCCAGGCUCUGAGCCUGGAGGACCAUUGCUCUGAAUCAGUCCGGCAGUGUGCGAGCCUCACUGGGAGACGCUGUCUCCUCCUGGGAGUGGGAUAAGGAGGGCUAGCUGCUUGUAUUUGAAAAACAUCCCAGGUGAUUUCACAUGCAGAUGGGGCUUAAGACUACAAUUCUAAUUCAGGCUUUCCUUGGUCUCCUACAGGGGGCAGGGAAAACUGACUAUCCAGGUCAUGGGGUCCAGAGCAAAAGAAAAAUGUGAGAAUCCUUGUUCAAAACUAUUAAGAACUUCAAGACGGUGCCUGCAGCACAUUAGAGCAAGCGCAGGCCCUCCGGAAGGCAGACCCUGUGGCUGCACAGGUUGCAGCCCUACAGAGUUGGCACUUGGCCUCUAGCCACCAGCUCCCUGGCAGCCUCCUCAGAAGGACGCGCAGCUGCGUCCUCAUCCUUGGUGGUUCUUCUGAGUAGGAUCACGAGCUGGCAGCUCAAGGCAGCCAACCUUCCGGUCAGAUGUAGCCUUGGAAGAAUGAAGUCAUCUCCAGAGGAGGAGCCAGGCAGGGGAGACCUUCCCAGCUCUCUGCAUGUCCUGCCCCUUCUCGAAUGAGCUUAUGCUUCUUCAAAGCCCCAUGCUUGCUGUCAUCUCGCUGUGCACCCACAUUCUGGUGACUCUCCCCUGGUCCGCUCUCUGUACCCCAGGAGUUAACCAGGAGAACCAAGUCAGUUGCCCUCCUCCCUGAGAGGUGCUGCUCACUGAAGGGCAAUUCCCAGCUGGCUUUUCCAUCUUACCGAAGGUGAAUUAAAGAGAAGAUGGAUCUCUCCCCAGCCAGCCCAUGCUGUGGAAAUUCCCACUUGGUGGGAGGGAUUUAAACGGUUACAGGGAGCCAGCUCUACUCACGUGUUACUUCACAGUGGUUUCUGGAAAUUGCACUUUUCGCUGUUGUCCAUGACACUGGCUCACCCCCUGGGAAGCUGGUGACAGAGCUGAUGUCCUCUGCUCACCAGCUGUAUUCUGGGAACCUCUAGCUCUGCCUGCACCCAAGCUUUGGCAUCAGAGUCAGGGCUCUGCCAUGGCACAGGAUGUCCUCUCUGAUUUCCUCUUUACAUUUCUAUUUGGUUGGCUUCACACUCUGGAAAGCGGUGCUUCAUAAAGGAUAUUUUUGGGAAGGAAUGAGUGAGUGUGUGUGUGUGUGUGUUCAUGUACACACAUGUAUAAAGGGCAAGAGUAAAGUUUACUUAUCUUUAUUUCCUCCCCAAUUCUAAGCCAGGACCCCACAGCUAAGGCAUUAAUGUGAGACCUAAAAUUUGGCUCCAUCUUAAGAGUGAGGUGGCCUAAGACAUAAACUCCAGUUCCUAGAAAAACCACAAGAUGUACUUUGCCCACCUGCUUGUGAUAAGUGUUCAGCCGUCCCCUGGCAACAGCUACCCCAAUGUCCCAGGUGUAACCUUUUGCAGCUUGGGUGUGCAAGGCACAACCAAUCAGGUUUAAUUGCCAAUCUAGAAUGUUGCUGUAACUACUAUGAAAACCCCUGCUGAUUUGGAGUCAGGGCUCUCAAUUCUGAUCCGCUGCGUCGGUGACGGUUGGGAGUCCCUGCUGGAGCUUGAAUAAACGACCCUCAUGUGCUUACAUCGGAAUCGGCUUCCUGGUGGUCUUUGGGACCUCACG
rnacentral:lncRNA from 1 species